rnacentral:lncRNA from 12 species
GUAGCCUUCCAUAGAGAGCGCUCCUCCUGGACUUCAAGUAGAGCUUCGAGCACACUGAAUUUGCUUUAGCACUUGGGCGUCCCUGCUGGAGUGUGAGCCUAUUGCGACCCUCACUGCUGAAUGUGCCCUUUAUAGGAAAGGGUGAAUUUGUCCAAGACCAGUUUCCCGUGAGAAAGCAAAUUGGAAGGGGCAAAGAAAUUGCCAAAGGUCAAACUGAGCUGGGUAUGAGGACGCUGAGGCCCAUCUCUUGGCGCUGGGUCCCACUGUAGCCAGGCCACCCGGCCUGGAGACCCAGCACGAAGACUGUGACAGAGCCAUCCAUCAGGUGCUGGAGGAGAGGAAGCUCUGGAACCAGGUAAACACCCAGUGGCAAAUGGGUUGCUGAGAAGGUUGUGGUGUUAUGGGACACAGUGGCACAUGUCGCCCGGUUACUGUCCCAACCUUGACAGUAGACCAACCAGAGCUGGUCUUCUGUAGAAUCUGCGUGGCUCUGUAUGGUCUGUUUCCAGCUUCAUCCAUCAGUACCAGCCCACCUCCAAAAGACAGGUCUUCCUCUGCACAGACCACUCCCUCCCAGGUGAGACAGGCAUGCCAGGGGAGGGCCUCAGACCUCAGGGGCCAAAUCCAGCCCAGGCUCUUCCAGAGUGCUGAGUCUGCAGCCCUGCAGGGCUGGCCAGGUAUCUGGAAACACCUGUAUUCUGGCAGCGCCUUGAACCUAGAGACCACUCUGGGAGGUGGCUGGGGGCCCUCUACCUGCCUGGGGGGAUCACCGUCACACACCCCACAUGCCCACCUAAGUCAGGCAAAGGCCCUAAGCAAAUGCAGCCUCUUUCUCUUCCAACCUCUUCCCAAGAUUUUGGGGGUCCCAUCCACGCCCCCUGUAGGGGAAAUUCAAGAACCACCACUCCUUCCGCAUAUCUCUCAGCUAUACCGAUUACUGCAAACUAAUUAUUAGCUUCAAAAAACAUAUUUUCUACUAGAGCAUGAACCCAGCUCCCACAGCCAGGGCAGAGAGUGUGUGUGUGAGCUUUCCAUUGGAGCUCGAUAAAUAUUUGAAUAAAUAAAGGGCUGCUCUAAAGCCCA